UACGUAGGGUGCGAGCGUUAAUCGGAAUUACUGGGCGUAAAGCGUGCGCAGGCGGUUUUGUAAGCCAGAUGUGAAAUCCCCGGGCUUAACCUGGGAAUGGCAUUUGUGACUGCAUGGCUGGAGUGCGGCAGAGGGGGAUGGAAUUCCGCGUGUAGCAGUGAAAUGCGUAGAUAUCAAGAGGAACACCUGCGGCGAAGGCGGGUUGCUGGGCCGACACUGACGCUGAGGCGCGAAAGCCAGGGGAGCGAACGGG
rnacentral:rRNA from 1 species